rnacentral:lncRNA from 1 species
GAAACAUUGAACUCCACUCAAGCUUCACUAAGAGCCGAAGAAGUCGUCCUCUCAUCAUGACCAGCAAGUUCGUCACCUUUGCCCUGGUUGUCCUGGCUGUCGCCAUGGCUACGGUGGAUGCCAAGAAGCCAGAAGGGAAGCCAAAAGAAAAUAAAAUUCCUUGUCCUCGGCUGCUGGAACUCUACGACACCUGCAUCUCCGCUGAACCCCCCAGAAACUGCACUCAGCUCGACACUCUCAUCAACAAAAAAGGAUGUAGAGUAACAACCACAGAAGCCACUACAACAGUGGAACCUACACCUAUUUAAAGAACAAGACACGAAUACGCUGGAUGGACACUGGAGCGAAGUACGAAAAUAUUUCAUCGACUUUUGUUGUUGACGACGAGAAAUAUGGAUCUGAAACAUGAUUAAUAAAAUUGUUCUGAUCAGACAGCA